UAGGGAAUAUUGGGCAAUGGAGGCAACUCUGACCCAGCAACACCGCGUGAAGGAAGAAGGUCUUCGGAUUGUAAACAUCUGUUGUAAGGGAAAAAGAAAUGAUGGUACCUUACGAGAAAGCACCGGCAAACUAUGUGCCAGCAGCCGCGGUAAUACAUAGGGUGCAAGCGUUGUCCGGAAUUAUUGGGCGUAAAGGGAGCGUAGGCGGUCUAGUAAGUUGAAUGUGAAAUCCUGUGGCUUAACUGCAGAACUGCAUUCAAAACUAUUGGACUUGAGUAUGGAAGAGGUAAGUGGAAUUCCUAGUGUAGCGGUGGAAUGCGUAGAUAUUAGGAGGAACACCAGAGGCGAAGGCGGCUUACUGGGACAUUACUGACGCUGAAGCUCGAAAGCGUGGGGAGCAAACA
rnacentral:rRNA from 1 species